rnacentral:rRNA from 1 species
UCGACUGUUUUAACAAAAACAUUUUUUUUUGUUUUUUUAAAAAAUAAAGCCUGCCCACUGAAUAUUUUGAAGGGCCGCGGUAUUAUGACUGUGCUAAGGUAGCGUAAUCAUUAGUCUCUUAAUUAGGGAAUAGUAUGAAUGGUUAAACCUAGAGUUAUUUUGUUUAUUUAAGUAUUUGAAUUUUAGUUUAAAUUGAAAACUUUUUAAUAAAACAAAAAGACGAUAAGACCCUAUAGAGCUUAAUUUUUACUAAUAUUUAUUCUUUAGAGGGAAAGAAUAAAUACUAGUAAAAGUUUAGUUGGGGCAAUUUUAGAAUAAUAAAAACUUCUACAACUAUCUUUAAUUUAAAAAUUUAAAAAGUUACCUUAGGGAUAACAGCGUUAUAAUUUUAGAGAGUUCAUAUCGAUAAAAUUGUUUGCGACCUCGAUGUUGAAUUAAAAAAUCUUUUAUGGGGUAAGUUUUAAAAAAGAUGGUCUGUUCGACUAAUAAUAUUUUACAUGAUUUGAGUUCAGACCGGA